ACUUUACUGCUGUGGUUGAAAGGAAGGCUUACCAUCUUCACUUCAUAUCCCUCAUUUGGAUCGGCAUCCGCUUUAUAAAUUUAGUUACACCAAAUUUGAAAUGGCGCGAACUGCUUUAAGUAGCAAUAACAUAGGUUAUUAACUGGCGGAUGACUGCCGUAGAGUCAA